GACAGAGGGUGCAACCGUUGCUCGGAAUUACUGGGCGUAAAGCGCGUGUAGGCGGGGAGAUAAGUCGGGUGUGAAAUCCCUGGGCUCAACCUAGGAACUGCAUUCGAAACUGUCUUUCUGGAGUGAUGGAGAGGAAAGCGGAAUUCCCGGUGUAGAGGUGAAAUUCGUAGAUAUCGGGAGGAACACCAGUGGCGAAGGCGGCUUUCUGGCCAUCAACUGACGCUGAGACGCGAAAGCGUGGGGAGCAAACAGG
rnacentral:rRNA from 1 species